rnacentral:rRNA from 1 species
CCUACGGGAGGCUGCAGUGGGGAAUAUUGCGCAAUGGGCGAAAGCCUGACGCAGCGACGCCGCGUGAGGGAUGAAGGUCUUCGGAUCGUAAACCUCUGUCAGCAGGGAAGAACGGUCACUGUGCUAAUCAGCAGUGAAUUGACGGUACCUGCAAAGGAAGCACCGGCUAACUCCGUGCCAGCAGCCUCGGUAAUACGGAGGGUGCGAGCGGUAAUCGGAAUUACUGGGCGUAAAGCGCUCGUAGGCGGUAUGUCAAGUCAAGGGGGAAAUCCCCGCGCUCAACGUGGGAACUGCCUUUGAAACUGGCAAACUGGAGUGUGUGAGAGGUUAGUGGAAUUCCAGGUGUAGGGGUGAAAUCAGUAGAGAUCUGGAGGAACAUCAGUGGCGAAGGCGACUAUCUGGCACAUAACUGACGCUGAGGAGCGAAAGCGUGGGUAGCAAACAGGAUUAGAUACCCCUGUAGUC